UAGUGUCUCUGACAGGGAGCUAGCCCAAGUGGUUCUUUACCCACUAAGACCAUCUCUAUCUCACCCUGCAGGUUCUGCUUCCAUGCCUUGGAGGAGCUUUUCUCCUAGAGAUUCUGCAGUAGCUUGUGACACCCUUAUUUGGAAGAAUAACUUGCCAGAGAGUGAAUCGGAAGAUUUCUCACCCCUCCGUUCUCAAGACAGAGGAGCACGUUAUAAAGAGGACGGAAUGACAGGCAAAGGACUUAGGACCAGGAGACAGCUUCAUUCCCUCAAACACUCAGCCAAAGAUGUUUAAUGAGCACCCACUGUGUGCCAGGCAUCGUGCCAGGCAACGGGGAUGUCAUGGUUGGUAAGGAAUAAGGAGAGAUGAGUUCAUCUGUGCGACGCUGUGACCAGUGGGGCGGGGGCAGGGUGGGCCAGGCUCAGAGACGUUUUGGAAGAAGAAUCUGCAGCGCACGAUGACUUUUGGAAACAGGGCAGCGGUGUGAAUGAGCACAUGAUGUCCACAUGGGUUGAUCUUCCCAGAGGUUUAAAAUCCUCAGGAAUAAGGAAUGUGUGCAUGUGUGAUAAUGGUCCCCACCGUGGGGAGCAGUCAUGUCAGUGCACCUCCACGUUAACUCUGCUCAUGUAAGGGCCACGUCUUCAGCACCACAAAGCCGUAAGAUGCAUGUCUGGCCCCUCCUACCCCUCCUUAUUGAGGCGGAAUGAAGGCCCAUGCUUCUCGUAGUACGGGAACAGAACUACGUCCUUUGUGCUAUUAAUUUGGCAUGUACUCAGUCAUUCGAUGAGUACUGAUGAAGUGUGUUCUAAGCUUGUACCAGGCUGGGUCUUCUGCUACAGUCCCCACCCUUACAAACCUUGCCAAGUGGUGCCACCUGCAAGCUUUCUGACCCUGGGCAUCCCUCAUCC
rnacentral:lncRNA from 1 species